AGUCCACAAAAGAGUUAAGCACAUAAAAUCUUUAACUUGCCUGGCAACAUCUGAUGCCUUGGAAACAUCAUGCAUUAACAUCAGGACAUGAUGCAAGAGUUUCUUCCUGU